rnacentral:rRNA from 1 species
GCCGCCGUGAAAGCGGAGACUGGGAAUACGCCUCUAUAGCUUCAGUUCAGCGAUGGCGGCUUGACGGGAGGUGGUUUUGGUCCCAAGUUUUUUAGAUCCGACGGCGAGGCACAACCCCGCAUCUCCCCCGCCGGCGACCAUCAGGGCCGGCCAACCGCGCCGUCCCGCCCCGCGGCCCCAUUCCGCCGUAGAUCCUCGCCGCCCGCGCCUCUAUGACCGUCCCCGGUUCGCCGGUUUCUCCCGGUGCAAGCAAGAUGAGCAGCGUGCCGUGGAAGCGGCUGGAGCUCGCCGCGCUGUGCGCCUACGCGGUGGUGUUCUACAGCGCCAUGGUCCAGAGGUCGCUUCGCCUCGCCCGCGAUUACUCCGGGAAACUCUACGGCCUAAGAGCUGGAUCAAUCCCCGGCCGUCUGAACGACUCGUCUGACGCGCAAUGGAGAAACUUCCGUGGGAACUUACCUAUUCUCACCGUUGUAAUGGCUGCAUUUCUGAUCGUGGCGAAAGGGCUGCGAUACGGCUGUAGCUUGAAGGGCAGAGGGGCCUCGUUGGUCUGGCUUAUAUUGUCCCUGAUCUAUCUAUGCUACCUACAUGGUGCUUGUGUUGGCUUCAUUCUUGUAAUAGCAGGGGUUAAUUACGCCAUAGUCAAGUUAUUUGCUCGAUAUAAAUAUUGCACUGGCAUCAUAUGGAGCUUCAACUUAGCUAUGCUUACACUUAACCGGGUCUACGAAGGCUAUUCAUUCUCAUUGUUCGGGCAACAACUGGCUUUCCUUGAUAACUAUCGGGGUACAUUUCGAUGGCACAUAUGCUUCAAUUUUGUUGUAUUACGGAUGAUUAGCUUUGGAUGUGAUUACUGCUGGACACUUAGUUCGUCUCACUUUGAUCACAAGAAACACAUGCAGAAAUGUGAAGUUUGUUAUUCCGGCAAGACAUGCUACUUUGCUUUGCAGGAGAAAGGACUCAGCGUUGACAAAUACACAUUCCUAACAUAUUUAUGCUACCUAACAUAUGCUCCACUCUAUAUUGCUGGACCUGUUGUAAGCUACAACGCAUUUGCAGCUCAGUUAGAUGUACCUCAGAAAAAUUAUUCAGUUGGGCAGAUAUGUUGUUAUGGACUAAGGUGGAUCCUAAAUUUCCUUCUAAUCGAAGUCAUGACACACUUUUUCCAUUACAACGCGUUUGUAGUCAGCCGAUUAUGGCGGCAGUUGGCACCGUUUGAGAUCUUCAUCAUUAGUUAUGGGGUGUUGUUCUUUAUGUGGUUAAAAUUCUUCCUUAUUUGGCGCUACUUCAGGUUCUGGUCACUGGUAGGAGGAGUUGAGACACCUGAAAACAUGCCUAGGUGCAUAAAUAAUUGUCCUGACCUGGAGAGUUUCUGGAAAAGCUGGCAUGCUUCCUUUAACAGAUGGCUGGUCAGGUACGUUUACAUACCUCUUGGUGGGUCUCGAAGAAAACUAAUUAGUGUCUGGAUUGUAUUCACAUUCGUAGCAGUCUGGCAUGACCUGGAAUGGAAACUUAUUUCAUGGGCAUGGUUAACAUGCUUAUUUUUUGUCCCUGAAAUAGUGAUCAAGUCUUUUUCCAACAACUUCCAGGCAAAAAGUACCCUUGGGCGGUUCAUUCAUCGUGAAUUAUGUGUAAUUGCUGGUGCUGUGACAGUCAGCUCCCUUAUGGUGGCAAACCUUGUUGGCUACGUUGUAGGGCCGUCAGGCAUUAAGGUUCUGAUGUCGCGGAUGCUCCACAAGGAUGCCCUUCCUGCACUUGGCAUCAUAUUCUCUACUUUCUAUGUGGGCGUCAAGCUUAUCUUCCAUAUACGGGACGCUAGAAAGACUUAACGGGUGACAAAACAACUAUGCGGGUUUGACUGUGAACUCGGUGACAUUGCAGGCAUCGUGAUAACAUAGCAGGCUUCCACCACUGCUUUGUUGGCUUUGUUUGACACAAGCAAAAAGCUCAUGUAGGCAUUGAUCUGGGAUUCCUUUGUUGUAGGUUAGGGCCUAGUAUGCCUGCUGGUGUUCUUUCCCUGCGUAUGAUCUUUUGAAUUCGGUUGGCCUGGGGUGAUAUUGCGGAACGUAUGCUUGUAACGACGAUUCCCAUUUUGUUGCUUCAAUGCCUACGACCAGCAACUCGUCGUUUCUAGCUACUGUUUAUAUUCGCACCAAUUCAGCGGAGUCACUUGGUUGUAACUUGGACUGAAGAUGAUAAUGCAAAAAGGUUUGCAGCGGAAUCCAGAGUUAUGUAAAACUUGGCAGGUGAAAUCGUUUGUAAAACUUGGAUCAGCGUUUCCGUUUCAAAUACCAGCCUGUUAG